rnacentral:snoRNA from 1 species
GUCUUGUCAGUGAUGUUUUUAAAACACAAAUGUCUGAACAAAUGACUUCUCUGUGAUUCGUACCUUUCACUGAGACAAGAC